AUUGAACGCUGGCGGCAGGCCUAACACAUGCAAGUCGAACGAGCGGCGGACGGGUGAGUAAUGUAUGGGGAUCUGCGCGAUAGAGGGGGAUAACUACUGGAAACGGUGGCUAAUACCGCAUCCCCUCAGAUGAACCGAUAUGGGAUUAGCUUGUAGGUGAGGUAACGGCUCACCUAGGAGACGAUCCCUAGGUGGUCUGAGAGGAUGACCAGCCACACUGGGACUGAGACACGGCCCAGACUCCUACGGGAGGCAGCAGUGGGGAAUAUUGCACAAUGGGCGCAAGCCUGAUGCAGCCAUGCCGCGUGUGUGAAGAAGGCCUUAGGGUUGUAAAGUACUUUCAGCGGGGAGGCGUUACCCGCAGAAGAAGCACCGGCUAACUCCGUGCCAGCAGCCGCGGUAAUAC
rnacentral:rRNA from 1 species